GAUGAACGCUGGCGGCGUGCCUAAUACAUGCAAGUCGAGCGAACAGACGAGGAGCUUGCUCCUCUGACGUUAGCGGCGGACGGGUGAGUAACACGUGGAUAACCUACCUAUAAGACUGGGAUAACUUCGGGAAACCGGAGCUAAUACCGGAUAAUAUAUUGAACCGCAUGGUUCAAUAGUGAAAGACGGUUUUGCUGUCACUUAUAGAUGGAUUCGCGCCGCAUUAGCUAGUUGGUAAGGUAACGGCUUACCAAGGCAACGAUGCGUAGCCGACCUGAGAGGGUGAUCGGCCACACUGGAACUGAGACACGGUCCAGACUCCUACGGGAGGCAGCAGUAGGGAAAUCUUCCGCAAUGGGCGAAAGCCUGACGGAGCAACGCCGCGUGAGUGAUGAAGGUCUUCGGAUCGUAAAACUCUGUUAUUAGGGAAGAACAAAUGUGUAAGUAACUAUGCACGUCUUGACGGUACCUAAUCAGAAAGCCACGGCUAACUACGUG
rnacentral:rRNA from 1 species